rnacentral:rRNA from 1 species
GAAUUUUGGACAAUGGGGGCAACCCUGAUCCAGCCAUCCCGCGUGUGCGAUGAAGGCCUUCGGGUUGUAAAGCCCCUUUGGCAGGGAAGAAAAGGCUCGGGCCAAUACCUGGAGCUGCUGACGGUACCUGACGCAUAAGCACCGGCUAACUACCUGCCAGCAGCCGCGGUAAUACGUAGGGUGAAAGCGUUAAGCGGAAUUACUGGGCGUAAAGCGUGCGCAGGCGGUUCGGCAAGAAGGAUGUGAAAUCCCAGGGCUUAACCUUGGAACUGCAUUCUUAACUGCCGGGCUAGAGUAUGUCAGAGGGGGGUAGAAUUCCGCGUGUAGCAGUGAAAUGCGUAGAGAUGCGGAGGAAUACCGAUGGCGAAGGCAGCCCCCUGAGAUAAUACUGACGCUCAUGCACGAAAGCGUGGGGAGCAAAC